rnacentral:rRNA from 1 species
AUUGAACGCUGGCGGCAUGCCUUACACAUGCAAGUCGAACGGUAACGGGCCUUCGGGUGCCGACGAGUGGCGAACGGGUGAGUAAUGCAUCGGAACGUACCUUUCAGUGGGGGAUAACGUAGCGAAAGUUACGCUAAUACCGCAUAUUCUGUGAGCAGGAAAGCAGGGGGAUCGCAAGACCUUGCGCUGAUUGAGCGGCCGAUGUCAGAUUAGCUAGUUGGUGAGGUAAAGGCUCACCAAGGCGACGAUCUGUAGCGGGUCUGAGAGGAUGAUCCGCCACACUGGAACUGAGACACGGUCCAGACUCCUACGGGAGGCAGCAGUGGGGAAUUUUGGACAAUGGGGGGCAACCCUGAUCCAGCCAUGCCGCGUGAGUGAAGAAGGCCUUCGGGUUGUAAAGCUCUUUCGGCCGGGAAGAAAUCGUAUGGGCUAAUACCCUGUGCGGAUGACGGUACCGGCAUAAGAAGCACCGGCUAACUACGUG